rnacentral:lncRNA from 1 species
UCUUUGACUGCUUUCUUUUACUGCUCACUGCACAAGGAAAUCAAGGAUUAGAGUUAGGAAUCCAAACAAGUUUGGGUCCCUUGUAGUGAGGAAAAGCGUGAAUUAAACUUCUUCUUGUCCAAGCAGGCAUCACACAUUUUGUAUUUGAGGGACAAGGUUCUUUAGCAGUAGGUACUUUUUUAACAAAAACUUUAAUUUUCUAUUAGGACUGAAAUAGCUUUACAGGUUUCUUUAAAGUGCCCAGUGUAACCACGGUGAGUGCAAAUCCAGUUAUUAGGGACAGUAACAUGCUUGCUAUGUGGAUUGUAGGGGGUCUUUUCC